CAGCCGCCGCGGGAAUACGUAGGUGGCAAGCGUUAUCCGGAAUUAUUGGGCGUAAAGCGCGCGUAGGCGGUUUUUUAAGUCUGAUGUGAAAACCCACGGCUCAACCGUGGAGGGUCAUUGGAAACUGGAAAACUUGAGUGCAGAAGAGGAAAGUGGAAUUCCAUGUGUAGCGGUGAAAUGCGCAGAGAUAUGGAGGAACACCAGUGGCGAAGGCGACUUUCUGGUCUGUAACUGACGCUGAUGUGCGGAAGCGUGGGGAUCAAACAGGAUUAGAUACCCGCGUAGUCCCUGUCUCUUAUAC
rnacentral:rRNA from 1 species